CAUUUACUCCCUCCGUCCAAAAAUACUUGUCAUCAAAAUGGAGAAAAAGGGAUGUAUCUAGAACUAAAAUACAUCUAGAUACAUCCCAUUUUAUUUAUUUUGAUGACAAGUAUUUCCGGAUGGAGGGAGUAGUAU
rnacentral:pre_miRNA from 1 species